AGAGUUUGAUCCUGGCUCAGGACGAACGCUGGCGGCGUGCCUAACAUCAUGCAAGUCAACGAGAAAGGGGUAGCAAUAUCCCGAGUACAGUGGCGCACGGGUGAGUAACACGUAGGCAAUCUGCCUUCAGGACGGGGAUAAUUUCGCGAAAGCGGGACUAAUACCCGAUUAUGCAGCGGCACCGCAUGGUGACAGUUGUUAAAAGCCGCAAGGCGCCUGGAGAUGAGCCUGCGUCCCAUUAGGUAGUUGGCGGGGUAACGGCCCACCAAGCCUGCGAUGGGUAGCUGGUCUGAGAGGAUGGCCAGCCACACUGGAACUGAAACACGGUCCAGACUCCUACGGGAGGCAGCAGUGAGGAAUAUUGCGCAAUGGCCGAAAGGCUGACGCAGCGACGCCGCGUGAGGGAUGAAGUCCGUUGGGAUGUAAACCUCUUUUGCAGGGGAUGAAGCUGUCGCUACAGGCGACAGUCGACCGUACCCUGCGAAUAAGGGUCGGCUAACUACGUGCCAGCAGCCGCGGUAAUACGUAGGACCCGAGCGUUGUCCGGAUUUACUGGGUGUAAAGGGCGUGUAGGUGGGCGCUUAAGUCGAUGGUGAAAUCCUGCGGCUCAACCGUAGAAUUGCCGUCGAUACUGGGCGUCUUGAGUGCGGCAGAGGGAGAUGGAAUUCAUGGUGUAGCGGUGAAAUGUGUAGAUAUCAUGAAGAACACCGGUAGCGAAGGCGGUCUCCUGGUCCGUUACUGACACUGAGGCGCGAAAGCGUGGGGAGCAAACAGGAUUAGAUACCCUGGUAGUCCACGCCUUAAACGAUGGGUACUAGGUGCUGGGCCGCAAGGUCCAGUGCCAAAGCUAACGCAUUAAGUACCCCACCUGGGGAGUACGAUCGCAAGGUUGAAACUCAAAGGAAUUGACGG
rnacentral:rRNA from 1 species